rnacentral:lncRNA from 1 species
AAAAUUUAAAAUUUUUAUUAAUAAUAUAAUAAUUAUAUUUAUAUUUAAAUAUUUUUACAAAUAAUUUUUUUGUCCUUUUUCCCUUGGUUCUUUUAUUUUUCUCUGCCAUCCCCUUUCCUGUCACCGCUGAAAAGAGGAGUGCGACCGCCACAAGGAGCUGCCGCCGUUGUCAUCUUCGCGGGCUGCCUUUUCGUGCGCCGUUUUUGCUGUCUUUCAUCCGUGUCUUGCCGUCGUCGUCUGUGGAGUCUCCAGGCCGUCGCCGUUCGCCGUUUUCAGUGUCGCCACGAAGUCAAGAACGAGCGAAAGGCAGAGAGAUCCAUCAUUGUCGAUGCUGUUCAGUGGAGGAGGAAGAACCGCAACGAGGAAGGGGAGCAGGAGCCAUCGCGGUGGUCGUCGUCACCGUGGUUGAAUAGUAGUGGUUAGAGUCGUCGCUGAUGGAGUCUGUCGAAGCUUCUAUCUGAGAAAAUAAUAAUCGGUUCUAAUAUAUGUUGAUGGUGCAGUGGUAAAUGUGAUGAUAGCAAUGGUUGUUGUGAGAAGAAAAUGUGAGAAGAGGAAGAAGAUGAAGAUAUUUAUGUAGUGGAAAAGUUUAGGAGUCAUCAACUUUAUUAAAUUCUGGCCAAUAUAGAACUGGCAAAAGAAAAAAUGAGUAACUCCACACCAUUGGAUGAAAUCUCACACCAUUAAAAAUAUUAUUGAUGACUACUUAAUAGUUACAAAUCACAAAAAUUACUGGUCUUAGUACUCCUCUUAUGUAAUUUAUUAUUUUAUUUUAUAAAUUUUUUUAUUUAAACUACUAAAAGUCUAAAUAUACUUUUUCCACUAAGACACAUCCCUGAAACAAAUGAUAGAAGUCAUUGCAUUACUUUUAUACUGUUUCCUUUCUAGGUGGGUUGACAUUUGACAGGAGUGAUUUAUUUCUGUUUUUGGUAUGUCACUGUUGUUUUGGAAAUGUGUUUUUUUGGUCGUGUUGUUUUAGAAAUUUAAUCGAAGAUUGUUGUUUUACUUUUCUUUUUUGGGUCUUGGUUUUUUGGUUUAUAGAGGGGCCAAAGGCCCAUUCUUUUUUGGGUCUUUGCCCGAAGGCUACUGGCUCUAUGGAUCAGAGAGACCCAAUCUACAAGUACAAGCACUAACAUAACAUAAAUUCCAUUAAGCCCAUGCUUGCUUGCAAAUAUCCCUUCCCCUUCCGCCUACCUUAUUGUGUAUCAUUAACUACCCAGCAUCCAACAUCAACCUCACCUCCCUUGGCAAAUUAGAGGCCCAUCCAGUGUCCAAAGCCCCUGUAUUUUCCAAUUUUGCAACGGUGUUAGAUAUUUUGGGUCUACAUGUGGGCUUUGCUCCAUUGUUUCGUUGGGUACGUGGGCUUGCAUGUUCCGACGCAAUCCUAGCCCAAUUAGAAUUUGACAGGAUGAAAAAAAUUUAAAAGAAGAAUACCUACCGUUUUGAAACACAUGGAUAACUGGGUAAUAUGUUUCAAAAUCGUGACAAUUUGAUAAUUAGUUCUGAAAAUAGUAGUAAAUUGAUUAUAAAAGUCAUUAUUUUUAGAAUGGGAUGAUUAAAUUUGAAAUGGAUUUGAAUUGGAUAAAUUAUUGUGUUUGAAAUUAAUUAUAUAAAAUAGAAACUAAUUUGAAUUAAAAGUUGAUAUACUGAUUUGAUUUAUAUUAUUAUCUAUUUUUUACCAUACAAUUUUUUUUUUAUCACCAUCAACGAUUGUAGUUGGCUAGGGACGAUGGCAUCGGCUCACGAUUUGCCGAUGCUUAUAGCCAAGGUCAGUUAGGUUCUCGGCGCAAUUAAUCGGCGACACCUGACAACCUUUUUUUCUAAACCCUUAUUUUUUUAUAUAAAUACCUAAAAUGUAAAAAUAAUUUUUUUUAUAUUUUUAACACAUCAAAUUAAUUUUAUUCCGAAAAAGAAUUUUAUUUUUGUCCACCGUCAGAUUUAAAAAAAAAUGUAGUUUCAUUGAGUUCGUGUUUCUUCCUUUCUUUUGGUCUAGGUAGUUUGCAGAGGAGUGAUUAAUUCUUUUUCGUGAACGAAUUUGUGCAAUAAAUUAAGUAAAAUGAAAUGUAGUUGUUCCUAGCUUGGGUUACCAAUUUGGCAAUUAUGACAUGUAAUUUAAAUACAAUAUAUCAAAUAGUUUCAUUAUAAAGGAGUGCUAAGGACAUUAAAAUUUAUAAUUUGUAAUUAUUAAUUAAUUAUUAUUAAUAUUUUUAAUAGUAUAAUUUUUUUUUGAAAUAAAAAGCUCAACAUAAUAAGGUGGAGCAUCAACGUCUCAACAGAAAAGUAUUAAACAGAUAAAAUAAACUAAUUCCUAAUCAUCUUCGACAAAAACCGUCAACAACCCAAAAUAUCAAAUAUCACUCCACUCUUUAUAACUUUUAAUCGACCUGUUAACUACUCCUGCAAUAUUUAAUUCUUGAUUUCUGAAAAUUGUGUCAUUUCUUUUAUUUAAUAAUACAAAAUUAUUUAUUUUUUUAUUGAUUAAAUACUGACUAAAUUUUAAUAAAAAUACUGAUUUCUUAGACUUAAUAAAAAUGUUUGAUUUCUAAACUUUCUCCGAAAGAAAAAGGGAGGGGGUGGAAUUGAAAAUCUUGAAUGUUCCUUCUUAAAUCACAGAGACUACACACUACAGCACCAUAUAUGUGAGAGAGAAGAAGAAAGAUCAGAAAACUAGGAAAGAGAAAAAAUAAAAAAUAGUCUAUAAGUAUAUAUCCGAAGAAAAUGAUAAUUAAGAAGUGAGAGAUUAUAAAGAGAUGAGAUGACCUUAGUUUAUAUGAUGGGCAGAUUGAUCAUGUCAUCUAAAAUCUGAAAACCUUAACCUCUUUUGCAAGUUGGGGAGGGACUCUUAAUCUCUCAAGGGAAAUUCCACUCUGCUUUGCCAUGCUUUUUCUUUCACCUAUAUCACCAAGCACCGUACUGUGACUUGUGAGCAUCUCCAUGGUC